rnacentral:rRNA from 1 species
GAGGAAUCUUGCGCAAUGGGCGAAAGCCUGACGCAGCCACGCCGCGUGCCGGAUGAAGGCCCUAUGGGUUGUAAACGGCUUUUGAGGGGGAAGAACGACCGAGUUUCGAUUUGGUGUGACGGUACCCCUUGAAUAAGCACCGGCUAACUCCGUGCCAGCAGCCGCGGUAAUACGGAGGGUGCAAGCGUUGUCCGGAAUCAUUGGGUGUAAAGGGUGCGUAGGUGGGAGCUUAAGUCUGGGGUGAAAUCUUGCCGCUUAACGGUAAAAUGGCCCUGGAUACUGGGUUUCUUGAGUGUAGAAGAGGUAAGUGGAAUUCAUAGUGUAGCGGUGAAAUGCAUAGAUAUUAUGAAGAACAUCAGUGGCGAAGGCGACUUACUGGUCUACAACUGACACUGAGGCAUGAAAGCGUGGGGAGCAACC